CCCCUCUCUGCCCCCUGCUAGACAUCGUUGGCCUAGAUGCUAGAGCCAAGAUCUAGGUCAGGGACUCAGAGCUGCCCAAAGGAGAUUUCACUUUUAAAAAGACGUUCCAGGCUAUCGCUGGAAUGGGAUGCUGCAUCUGAUACCUACUUAAGUUCUGCCCUGGCUCCUGAUUCUAAGUGAAACAACUAAAAAGUUAAGUUUGUCAUUUUGGAGGGCAGAAGAAAGGAACAAGCCAGUGAGACAUUACCUGGUUCUGACCCAAACGGAACAUGAACAGGAGCCCUGGCGGCGGGGGCAGCACAGGCCUAAGCAAAGCCAAGAGCAGACGACAACUCCUGGAGAGAGCCACGCCAACAGGCAGCAAAUCUUCGGUGUCUUUUAGGGAGGGCUCUUAGCAGCAGCAGAAGUGAUUUUUGUACUAUGCAUAAUAGAGAUGUAAAAAAGCCUGGUCUCACAAACACCAAAAAAUCCAUCUCCAACGCAGAAGAGCCUUUCUAACAGAGAGGAGCUGAAUUCUGCACAGAAUCUAUUAUUCUGUGACAGGUAGGUAGAGAGAAAGCUAGACUUAGCUUCAGGGCAUGAAGGGAAUACGUCCCAGUUCUGCUAUUAAGAGGCACUUCUCAAGGAGAGUGAGCACUGGGGAGUAGAUUAACCCCAAGCUAACACUGGACAGUCGGCUGUGUCACUCCCAGCCACAACCAAUCUGCUAAAAUGAAUCAAAAAUAACCCCGCCUAGCAAAGAUCAAGACAACCAAGAGAAGACAGUACUAAACCAGGUAUCUACCAGCACUGCUAACUUCUGCCUCUCACCAUCGCCCUCCCGCUGCAAUUGCUCCUCGUGACCCGGAUUGGGGAACUGAUCUCACCGAAUCUGGGGAGGUGAUUUUCAAAGAGGCCACGGAAAAGCGUGAACCGCCGACCUCCCGCGCGUCCCCCAGCGCAGGGCCGCUCCCCCGGCCUGUCGGUGUCCCCAGCCCGGCCGUCCUCCCCGAGGCCGCCACCAGCACCCCCGCCCGCC
rnacentral:lncRNA from 1 species